GACCUGGUUGAUCCUGCCAAUAUUCAUAUGCUUGUCUCAAAUAUUAAGCCAUGCAUGUCUAAGUAUGAACUAAUUCAGACUGUGAAACUGUGGAUGGCUCAUUAAAUCAGUUAUAGUUUCUUUGAUGGUACCCUACUACUUGGAUAACCAUAGUAAUUCUAGAGAUAAUAUGUGCACCAAGUUCCGACUCUUUGGAAGGGAUGCAUUUAUUAUAUAAAAGGCCGGCACGGGCUUGCCUGCUUUUUCGAUAAAUCAUGAUAACUCGAUGGAUCGCACAUCCCUUGUGUUGGCGAUGCUUCAUUCAAAUUUUUGUCCUAUCAAAUUUUGAUGGUAGGAUAGAGGCCUACCAUGGUGGUGAUGGGUGACAGAGACUUAGGGUUCGAUUCUAGAGAGGGAGCCUGAAAAACAACUACCACAUCCAAGGAAGGCAGUAGGCAUGCAAAUUACCCAAUCCUGACAUGGGGAGGUAGUGACAAUAAAUAACAAUACUGGGCUCAUCAAGUAUGGUAAUUGGAAUGAGUACAAUCUAAAUCCCUUAAUGAGGAUCCAUUGGAGGGCAAGUAUGGUGCCAACAUCUGUGGUAAUUCCAAAUCCAAUAGCGUAUAUUUAAGUUGUUGUAGUUAAAAAUAUCGUAGUUGGAUCUUGGGUCGUAAAGGUCGGUCCACCUACUUGGUGUGCACCUGCCCUUCCAUCCCUUUUGUCGGUGGCGUGAUCCUAACCUUAACUAGUUGGGUCGCGGUUCCGACGUUGUUACUUUGAAAAAAUUAGAGUGCUCAAAACAAGAUUAUGUUCUGAAUACAUUAGCAUGGAAUAACAUGAUAGGAGUCUGGUCCUAUUGUGUUGGCCUUCGAGACCAGAGUAAUGAUUAAUAGGGAUUGUCGGGGGCAUUCAUAUUUCAUUAUUAGAGGUUAAAUUCUUGGAUUUAUGAAAGACAAACCACUAUGAAAGAAUUUUCUAAGGAUGUUUUCAUUAAUCAAGAACGAAAUUUGGGGGAUCAAAGAUGAUCAGAUAUCGUCCUAGUCUCAACCAUAAACGAUGUCGACCAGGGAUCAACAGAUGUUUCUCUAAGGACUCUGCCAACACCUUAUGAGAAAUCAAAGUGUUUGGGUUCCGGGGGGAGUAUGGUGGCAAGGAUGACACUUAAAGGAAUUGACAGAGGGCUUUGGCUCUAACAUUCAACCCCAACUAAAGAGAGAACACCC
rnacentral:rRNA from 1 species